rnacentral:tRNA from 1 species
UAUAUUUUAGUGUAUGAGCACAAAAAAUUUUGAUUUUUUUAGUAAUAGUUUAAUUCUAUUAAGUAUAA